rnacentral:misc_RNA from 1 species
UAAUAAGUGUUUUAUGGCACUUUUUAAAUCCAUAUCCACCUUGUGUGCAAUGUCGGUCGAUCUUCUUUUUUUGAGGAUCGACCAAACAUCAACCUUUAUUUUUAACUCUUUGGUCUGAAAAAUAUUAUGAAUAAACAAUUCCAAAAUA